GUCCUUUAGAAUUUAAUUAUAGGUCUAACCUGCCCACUGAAUUUUAAAUGGCCGCAGUAAUUUGACUGUGCAAAGGUAGCAUAAUCAUUAGUUUUUUAAUUAAAAGCUUGUAUGAAAGGUUGGACGAAGUAAAAUCUGUCUCUAUAUAAUUUAAAUUAGAAUUUAACUUUUAAGUUAAAAGGCUUAAAUUUAAUUAAAAGACGAGAAGACCCUAUAGAUCUUUAUAAUUUAUUUAUUAGAUUUGAUUAGGAAUAUUUUUAAUUUUAUUAAUAUAAUUAUUUUAUUGGGGUAAUAUAAAGAUUAAAAUAAUUCUUUUUUUUUAUUUACAUUAAUUUAUGAUUUUAAUGAUCCAGUUUUAUUGAUUAUAAGAUUAAGUUACCUUAGGGAUAACAGCGUAAUUUUUUUUGAGAGUUCUUAUCGAUAAAAAAGUUUGCGACCUCGAUGUUGGAUUAAAGAUUAUUUCAGGUGUAGAAGUUUGAAAAUUUUGGUCUGUUCGACCAUUAAAUCUUUACAUGAUCUGAGUUCAGACCGGUGUAAGCCAGGUCGGUUUCUAUCUUUAAUAAAUUAAAAUAUUUUAGUACGAAAGGACCAAUUAUUUAAUAUAAAAUAUUUACAUUUUUGAUUAUCAUUAA
rnacentral:rRNA from 1 species